GUCAAUGUAUAACUCUCAUAGCUGAACUCAAUAUUCAAUGCUGUUAAAAUUGUACCGUUUAAUUAAUAGUGUUUUUAAACAAGGCGACAACAAGCAAUGCGCAAAAGCGCAUGUAUUUAAGAAUUUUUCAAAGCAGCUAUAUUGUCUAUACUUAUUACUUACCGUUAGGAUCUGAGGACGUUUUUACAUCCAUUUCAAACGCGCAAUUUGUUUGUGCCAUGUUGAGAAAACCGGUCCACAGAAACGUGCAUGUACUGUAUUUACACUGCGUCAGAACUUGCAGAGUA